rnacentral:rRNA from 1 species
UACGUAGGGUGCGAGCGUUGUCCGGAAUUAUUGGGCGUAAAGGGCUCGUAGGCGGUUUGUCGCGUCGGGAGUGAAAACACUGGGCUUAACCGAGUGCUUGCUUUCGAUACGGGCAGACUUGAGGCAUUCAGGGGAGAACGGAAUUCCUGGUGUGGCGGUGAAAUGCGCAGAUAUCAGGAGGAACACCGGUGGCGAAGGCGGUUCUCUGGGAAUGUUCUGACGCUGAGGAGCGAAAGUGUGGGGAGCGAACAGG